UACGAAGGGGGCUAGCGUUGUUCGGAAUUACUGGGCGUAAAGCGUGCGCAGGCGGCUGCUCAAGUCAGGGGUGAAAGCCCAGAGCUCAACUCUGGAAUUGCCUUUGAGACUGAGUGGCUUGAGUACGGGAGAGGUGAGUGGAAUUCCCAGUGUAGAGGUGAAAUUCGUAGAUAUUGGGAAGAACACCGGUGGCGAAGGCGGCUCACUGGCCCGUAACUGACGCUCCAUGCACGACAGCGUGGGGAUCAAACAGG
rnacentral:rRNA from 1 species